UCCUCCCCUCUCUCUCUUCAUCUCUCUCCCCUCUCCUCUCUCUCCAGGCGCCAUGGGACGGGAAGGUUUGGCGGCCGGCGGCACAGCGGCGGCGGCGGCGGCGGCGCAAGAGAAGGGGAGGGCGCAAGAGAAGGGGCGGCCGGCCGGGUUCCUCAAGGGCGGCGACGACCUGGACGACGACGACAACGACUGCGGCAGCAAGGAGGCGGCGGCGGGAGCGCUGGGUGAAGGGGUCGCUCGUCCAUCCCCUCGGGCGAGGGCGCGGGGAGACGCCGCGGGAUUAGGGUUCUGUGGUGUUGUUUUUGGUUUUUUGCUUUCGGAUUGGAUUUCGGGGCGGCGGGGGCUCCUCCGGCCAGCCUUCCCUCGCAUCUAACCGCAGGUAACGAUUGAUUGAUUGAUGGAUUGGAUGUCCCCCAUGAUUUGAUCUGGGGACAAGCGGCCUCCGCCGGUGCAUGUCCUCGUCCCCGCACCACGGCCUCAGCACCAUGAUCCGUCCGCCGCUGCCGCCGUCACCGCCGCGUCGCCAGCCGCCGUCGCCGGCCGCCGAACUUCCCCGUCCCGUGGCGCCUGGAGAGAGAGGAGAAGGGAUGAAGAAGGGUAGGGAGAGGAUGACAUGUGGGGCCCACGUGGGCCCACCAUUUUCUAAUUAUUAUUUUGUGUAACUGACAUGUGGGUCCCACGGGUUUUAUUAUUUUUCUUGGAUGAAUUGCCACGUAAGCGCCACGUCAGUGCCACAUCCGAUGAAGACCGAGUAAAAAUAGCCACGUAGGCGCCACGUCAGUUAAAACCGCCAUCUAAACCGCCGAGGGACCUUAUGUGCACCGGUUUUAAUAGUUGAGAGACCCAUUAUAUCUGGUUUUGGGGUUAAAGGAUGAAAAUUGGAUUCGUUGACAAGUUCAGGGACCUCGGAUGAACUUAUUCCUAGAAUAAUAUAUCUAUAUGGAGAACAUUGGAUAAGAUAUAAUGAUAAUCUCCCAU